UACGAAGGGUGCCAGCGUUAUUCGGAAUUACUGGGCGUAAAGAGCGUGUAGGCGGCUCUGUAAGUUUGAUGUGAAAGCCCGAGGCUCAACCUCGGAACUGCAUUGAAUACUGCAAGGCUAGAGUAUAGGAGAGGAAAGCGGAAUUCCUGGUGUAGAGGUGAAAUUCGUAGAUAUCAGGAGGAACAACAGAGGCGAAGGCGGCUUUCUAGACUAUAACUGACGCUGAUUUCGCGAAAGCGUGGGUAGCAAACAGG
rnacentral:rRNA from 1 species